CUUCUUGUGCAUUCGAAACAUCAAUUGCCUCGCCGCCCAGUAUAACUUUGCCGUCCGGAACACCGGAGGCAAUGACAGUGAUGACUCGGUCAGGUGACUCAUUCGGAGAAUCCUCAAUUCGGAUCUUGGAGCUGGUUGACUGCUGGAGGGUUCUGAUCACGGAGCCGGACUUGCCAAUGACACCGCCGACGCGGGAGGAAUUGCAUAGAAGACGGAAUGUCACUUGUCCGGGAGAAACAGAUAGUGGUUGUUGAGCUUUGGGUGGCUUUGGGCGCUUGGAAUAUCCGUUUAGAAUCGGGUCGGGUAACCCGGAAAUUGGGCGCUUCAAUGGAGGUGGAAAGAAGUUACUUCCCAUAAUCUUGUUCUCUAUGAAACAAAAUGAGAGUUGCAGAAGCUGGAAAAUGAGGAGAGUAAAAUGCGCUAAAGGAAUGUGGCGGGUGCGUACUGCGCCUAGGUUUUCAGAACCCGCGCACUCGUGGACUAUUACAGUAUUAUUACUACUUAAUGUGACGUUUUUGACCGAUAUUGUGAUGUAAUAAUAAUAAUAAUAAUAAUAAUAAUAAUAAUGAUAAUAAUAAUAAUGAAGAUAAUGAUAAUAAUAAUAAUAAUAAUAAUGAUAAGAAUAACAAUAAUAAUAAUAACAAUAAUAGCCAUAAGCCUCGCCGAGAAGAGGGACGAUCAUACGUUCUAUCUAAGACAGCAAAAUGAUCAUGCUUGAGAAAAGUUGUGCCUAGUCGCGAUAUGAGAAAUGCCUGCGAGCUGAUUGGCCUCCAAGAGGAACAUCUCUCCGUCUCCCAUAAGGCUGGUAUCAGCUUGUGAAGAGGGAUUGGCCUCCAUAGAGGAAGAUCUCUCAGUCUCUCAUAGGGACUGGUAUCGCUUGUAAAGAGAUUGCCCCCAAGAGGACAUCUCUCAGUCUCCCAUAGGGACUGGUAUCAGCUAGUAAGAGAGGACUGGCCUCCAAAGGACAUCUCUCAGUCUCCCAUGAGGACUGGUAUCACCUUGUAAAGAGGAUUGGCCUCCAGAGGGACAUCUCUCAGUCGUACAUAGGGACUGAUAUCAGCUUGUAAAGGAGGAUUGGCCUCCAAGAGGAACAUCUCUGAGUCUUACAUAGGGCUGGUAUCAGCUUGAAAGAGGAAGAUUGGCCUACAAAAGAAACAUUUUUUCAGUCUUCCAUAUGGACCGGUAUCAGCUCGUAAAGAGGAUUGACCUCCAAGAGGAACAUCUCUUAGUCUUCCAUAGGGACUGGUAUGCAGCUUGUACAUGAGGAAGGCUCCUUGUUCCAGCACUAUUCUGUGUACCACCAAAAAGAUUAUCUCGAGUCUACCAGUUGCAUUAUAUAAUGCAUCUUGCACGCUUGAAAACUCGCCUGAUAUCUGAGGAGAAAAAGAGUAUAGAUAGGAUAAAUAAAUGCAAGAACUAUCACAAUGACUUGAACAAAAUAUGAUGAACUACACAUUAUAUCUUUGUGUGCAACAUAGAAAUGCUAUGGGAAAAAUUAAUCUCUAUUAGAUCAUAAAUAAGUGCACACUGCAGGGGUCCUUUUUUCUUAAUAAUAGAAGUUGCAUUGAAUUAAGAGAAAAUAGUCACCAAAAAACUACAAUAAAUAUGUUAGUGUGUCAAGUGUUAGUUAGAAGCCUCACAUUAGAUGAAAACUUUUAUAGUGAGAGGACUUGUAGUGUUAAACUCACUUGUCUGGUUGCUCUAGCCCAUAUAUGAUGAUCCCACGGGGUUUUAGGCUCCCGGAAGUCUCAACAAUGUGAUCAGACCAGUUAGUUGAUGGAGAGGCAUGAGUGGUUCUUGGUGCUGAUCAAGGAUGCGGAGAGUCUCACAUGUAUGGGGAGCAACAUAAAAAGAGGACUUAUACCUAAUGCCUUAAGGUUUUGAGUGAAGAUGUGAUCUUCAUUGCUCUAGCUCAGUGUGAUGAUCCCCUAUUUGUCAAUAACUCUAUAGCCCUUUCAAAGGCUUUAUGUCCAUAACACUCAUGAGCCAUAGGCUGACAAUGAGCAGGAUGCCAUUUCUUACCGGUAGAAACAAUAAAUUUCGGUUUCAUAAUCACUAUAAAGAGUGGUAUGAGGUUGAAAGGUAGAGUGGAGCAGGGGUGAUUAGAAAGUGUUAAGAAAUGUGGUUGGGCCUAACUCAACCCUACAAAACGCGGUUGGUAGAGUGGGAUUUCCCCCACUUAUAAACACAUGUUCAAGCCAUAAUUAUCCGAUGUGGAACCCUUAACAGAAAGCUUGUUGAAAGGGGUAGCAGGAGUGGUUUGAGAUGUUGGAUUAAGGAUGUGGAAAGCCGAUUUGUUGAAAGAGGCACCAAUGCCUACUCCUUCUUUAAGCAGAAGUGGAGAGUAUGAGAUGGGGUAGUGCCAUUCAGCAUCCAAAGUUUCCUAAAAUGAAGUAAAAUUAUUAUGAUUUUGUCUGUUUAGGACCACCAGAAAAUAGCAGGCCAAGAAAUGGAGCAGCAGCUAACAAUAUGGGAGAAUCGGUAUCUUCAAGGCAACAAAGGUAAAGAAUAAUAGAAAUUAGCAAAGAAGGAUCAGAAUAUGAAAUGAACUGAAACAUGGGAAUUGGAAAAACCGACAUGGAUGACAUUCAAGAGAAAUGAGUGAAGAUGUGAGUCUCACAAGAGAUGCAGAAUUUGUUGAUAAUGUUGGAGUGAGGGUAGGUUCAAAUGAUGGCUUCAACGCGAUGAGUUGAGCGUCGAUGAGAUGGGAAAGAACAGCGGUGAUGGAACAUUCAAUGUUGCCAACUUGAAGUGAUUGCGUGUUGUUGAGGACUUUGAUGGCAUUUGGGUUGGAUUGAGGUGUUGACAGAUUAGGCCCACAAUUUCACAGCCUCUUAUGGUGCCACAUUAGUAUUUUCAAUCACAAUAUUCGCUAUUACAAAGCCUGCUGAGUAUGUAUGUUUCAGAGAAAGGAUUUACAAUUUCGCAUACCAUAAAAUGUUUAAAUGCCUUAUAAGUAAACAUUAAAGAGUUUUGGCAAAAAGUAAGAGAUGCACGACUAGCACAAUAAACUUAGCAUGAUGGAGGAUGAGAAACUUUUUUGGAGAGAUUUGUUAGAAUUGCAGAUACAAACACAAUCAACAUUGAUAAAAAUAAAUGAUUCUUCAGCAGUUUAAUGCUAAAAUAAAUAAAAGAAGUGCCAUCUCCAAAUUCAAACCUGUACAACUUGAUCAUUAUCUGACACACUUUUAGAAACCUGAUCAGUUCCAAUUAUUCGUAUGCUAGCCUCUGUUGCCCUCCUCAUUUCUGACACUACUACUCCCGCCUUUUCCUAACAAACAACCGACUUGGUUUGAUGGACUACAAGUUGUGCAGUCACGGGUAAACCUGUAUUUAAUCCAGGAUUAUCCCUUUCUCAAUACCAGCCUCAAAGAGACUGGAGAAAACAAGCACCACGGCCCUUUGUGCUGGGGAAUACUUGACUCGGGAUUCUGCAAUAAAAAUGAAGCCACCACCAACAGAAAACGUUAAUAAAAACGUAACAAUAAAGAUACACAUACAACAAAUACGCACAGAGGAAUGAAGGAGUAAAACAGAAAGAAUUAAUUGAACAAACCUCUGAAGCGGUAAUAGUAAUCAAUCGAUCCUCACAUUUAGCUACUGAAGGACCCACACUUACAGUGGCCCUGUCUCACUUUGAAGGCUUUAAUUAUGUUCCCACCUUUUCCAAUGAUACCCUCCAACUCUAUCGUUGGAAACAAUAAUUUUGAAGUUGAUUUCUUGCUGAUUGUGCUUUUGAUUCUUGGAUGAGACUCUUAUUACUUCUGCUGACAAGGAAUGAACUCCAGUAGCAUAGCUGUUAGGCAAUUAUGUGAAGUAGAGAGUGAUGAGCCUCUUUGCAGAAGAUGAUCCACAUGCAGAUCAGUUAAUGUCUCGCGUGGAGCUGGCAAUUAAAGUCUCACGUGGAGCUCCAAUAAAAGUAUCAUGGUGAAGCUGAAUUUAAAGUCUCACGAGGAACUCCAACUAAAAGCUUCUUGAGGAUUUUGUCCUAUCAUCUUUGUUCUAUCAGCAUGAUGACCAUCUUGAAGACGAUGAGAGACCGCACAACAAGUGCCUUCUUACGGAUGACACGCUGCCUUCUAUCUACCAACAAAACCAAAAGAUGUGUUGUCUAAGUAUAAAUAAAGAGAAUAUUUUCAAGCAUAAAUAAAUGAAUACAUUUGCGUAUUCAUAUAUUCUUUGAUUGGCCAGUGGGAAAAAUUACCAAUCUUAACCGACGAAAUUAAGAUUCUUCCUUAUAUCCAUCCAAGGUAGUCAAAAUGAAAAGUACCAUUGCAGCGUGUCCAUGGUGGAGAGCCAAAAUCCCGCCAUACCAAACGCUUUGCAAACACCGUUAUAGCGGGUUAUGGCAGAAAAACCCGCAAUAUCGGCUGAUAUUUACCAUUGCAGCGAGCCCAAAACCCGCACACAAUAUCCGCGCGCCGCAAUUGCGGAUAUUUGAUAGCACUGAAAGUACUUUAUAUGCUUUAUGUAUUUUCCUUAUAUGCCCUUAUGACACUGGAUCACCUGCUUAGUCCCCUUUAAUACAAAUAUUAUCACUAGCAAACAAUGUCUUGCCAUGGUUUCUAGUCAAACAAUCAAGAAUCGGGACAACAUGUAUUAAAUAGGAAAAUCUCAAUUACAAGCUUCACCAUUAAAAAAUUAAUCUGACCCCAAAAGUGUUAACUCAGAAGUAACACUCUCUCUUUUUCAAAGAAAGUAAGUCUAGAGAUCAGGAUCAAUAUUGUCAAAUCAAGAAUUUGCUCAGAUCAAAAGGGGAUACCAAGAUUGUAGCACGUAAGAUUGCAACCAAGAUUGUAGCACGUAAGAUUGCAAACAAGAUCGUACCACGUAAGAUUGCAACCAAUAUCGUACCACGUAAGAUCGCAACCAAGAUGGUAAGAUUCUAUCCAUUAAUUAUGUGAGUUCAAGAGAGGUAGGAGGUUCAUAACAAGGAUUGUAAGGUCCUACUAAAGUUAAAAACUAUACUAUACUAUACUAAAUAUCCUAACGCAUAAAUCAAUAUUUUUAUCAAGUAUUUUAAUAUCAUUGCUUAUUUUUAUAAAAUUAUAUUAUUAUUACUUAGCUAUUAUAUUAUUGGGAACUUAGACUGCCGGGAAACAAAAGGUAUUCACACCACAUUUAUCUUUUGUUGGGUCAAGCUCAUUUAAGAGAGUAAAGUAACCUUUGUACCAGAAAAGAAAGAAUAAAGUAACCCUAAUUAUCGUGUUAACUUAUAUCCCUUGGUCCCUUACAGCAGAGCACCAUUUCACUUUCUUCUUCUCCUUUCGAACGGUAAAGGAAAAAGCAACACCCUUCUUUCAACUUCUUCAUCUCUUCAUCAUCUAAUUCUUUUUAAUUGUCUAGUGUGUUGCUAAAUAUAUGUGGGAGAGAGAAGAAAUUGAACGAAACGCAUUGUUUUGUCACAAAUCAGAGAAAAAUUGUUGCACUGUUGCUUCCGAUUCGUUUUUACGAUCUUGGCUGCGCUUUCACAAUUUCACGAUCUUGGCUAUGAUUUGCACGAUUUCACUACGAUUUUGCUAAGAAAACGAUUUUAUGCAUGAUCUGGAUCGGGGGGACUAGUAAAAUUGUGAAAUUGCACAAUUAUACGAUCUAAAUCGCGAUUUUGAUAACCUUGAUCAGGAGUCCAAGAAUACUAUGAAAAGUUUAUAACGAUUAUGUCAGUAAAAAAGCAAAAAACUCGGAAUAAAUAAUACUACUUAAAAAAUAUAAUCCAAAGAAUCCUUCUACCAUCUCACUUAAUAGCAUGACAUGCAAUAAGCUUAUAAGAUUCAAAAAACUUAGUCAUGCUUGAUAGGUCAAAACCACAAAAGAACACCCUAAACAAACAUAUUGUCUAAAAAGUCGUUGCAUACUUUGACCGCAAUGAAUCACUUGCUCAAUCAUAUCAAAAACUGCAUUUAACGUAUUAACUUUUGGUUGUUUUAGGGUAAAUUGUUUGAACUAAAAAACCAUAAACAUUUCCCACUAUGCAGUACUUAUAGGAAUUGGAAAUGCAAAGGAGAUACAAACAGCAUUCAAUUCCAGUAUCUCAAUACUAUAUAUAGAUUCAAUUCACCAACAUCACAAAUCCAUAGCAAUAUCUACAAAGCUAGAAAACCAAUUCAACUAAACUGAUAAACCUAUCAGUUCCACACGAAACUGUUUACACUCAGUCUAGAAAGUAUAAACUAGCACUACACUGCAGUUCUAAUGAAAUGGAAUAAUGGCAUUGAAGUAACUGAGCUAAAAUAUUCAAUAACAAGUCAGAAACUGAACAGUAAGAAUCAUCAUACCUCAAUCACUUCAUCGGGAGAAGAUAUACAAGCCGGUAAAUUAUCCCUACAAACCCUAAUUUUGCACGCAGUGUCUUUUUUAAUCUUCUCCACCACCUUCCCUCCCUUCCCAAUGACAGAGCUAGCUUCCGCCGCAUCAGCAACUAACCUGCAAGACACAAUCCUAUCCCCAAGCUCAACACCUUCCAUCUCCGCCGCAACUUCAAGAAUCCUAUCAAACACUCUCAGCAAUGCUUCUUGUGCAUUCGAAACAUCAAUUGCCUCGCCGCCCAGUAUAACUUUGCCGUCCGGAACACCGGAGGCAAUGACAGUGAUGACUCGGUCAGGUGACUCAUUCGGAGAAUCCUCAAUUCGGAUCUUGGAGCUGGUUGACUGCUGGAGGGUUCUGAUCACGGAGCCGGACUUGCCAAUGACACCGCCGACGCGGGAGGAAUUGCAUAGAAGACGGAAUGUCACUUGUCCGGG
rnacentral:lncRNA from 1 species